CGCUGCAAACAGGAUCUGAAGCUGCUUUCAGUCUGAAACACACGCCGCUCUGUCGAGCUGUGAAAGUGACGCCUUUGUGUCGCACACACACACGCAAACAUGACACAGCACAGGAAGUUCAUGAAUAAAGUGUGUGUGUGUGUGUGUGUGUGUGUGUGUGUGUGUGUGUGUGUGUGUGUGUGUGUGUGUGGUUACCCCAAAGGGCGAGACACUGGGAGUGUCACUGUGUCGACUUCCUGUCUUAAUUUCAAAGUUUGGGAAUAUUUUCCAUCACAGUUAAUGUUGGAAAAAUGAAACGAGUGAAAACUAGAAGGCGAGGGUUGUUUGACUUUAAUGCUCUUUGUCUCUCUGUGUGACCUUCGACCCCUGCCAGGUUCUCAGCGCUGCACCACGCCGCUCUCACAGGGACGAGCGAGCUGCUGGCGGCGCUGCUCGAGGCUCAGGCCACCGUGGACAUCAAGGAUAGUAACGGAAUGCGCCCGCUGCAUUAUGCAGCCUGGCAGGGAAAAGCCGAGUCGGUCCUGAUGCUGCUGCGCUCCGGAGCCUCGGUCAACGGCGCCUCACUCGACGGCCACAUCCCGCUGCACCUGGCUGCUCAGUACGGACACUACGAAGUGUCUGAGAUGUUGCUGCAGCAUCAGUCUAACCCGUGUCUGGUGAACAAAGCCAAGAAGACUCCUCUGGAUCUGGCCUGUGAGUUUGGACGAGUUAAGGUGAGCGCGUGUUUGACGGCCAUAUAAAGGACUGUUAUUCUGCAGUCAGUCUCUGUGCACUUUACACAGAUACUGGGAAAGUUCUUAGUUUUGGACUGAACGUCUCUGAAGUCAAAAACGGUCAAAAAAAUAAAUAUGUGAUGGAUUCAAAUUAAUCGGUAACAAAAAAGCAAAAGAAUAAAAAGGACCGAAGACAACAGCUGUGUCCUAAAAACGUAGCCCAAAUCCUUCGGAGGACGCGGCCUUCGUGGUCUACG